rnacentral:rRNA from 1 species
AAAAGAAACCAACAGGGAUUGCCUCAGUAACGGCGAGUGAAGCGGCAAAAGCUCAAAUUUGAAAUCUAGCACUUUCAGUGUUCGAGUUGUAAUUUGAAGAAGGUAACUUUGGUUUUGGCUCUUGUCUAUGUUCCUUGGAACAGGACGUCACAGAGGGUGAGAAUCCCGUGCGAUGAGAUGCCCAAUUCCAUGUAAAGUGCUUUCGAAGAGUCGAGUUGUUUGGGAAUGCAGCUCUAAGUGGGUGGUAAAUUCCAUCUAAAGCUAAAUAUUGGCGAGAGACCGAUAGCGAACAAGUACAGUGAUGGAAAGAUGAAAAGAACUUUGAAAAGAGAGUGAAAAAGUACGUGAAAUUGUUGAAAGGGAAGGGCUUGAGAUCAGACUUGGUAUUUUGCGUUCCCUUCCUUUUUGGUUGGGUUCCUCGCAGUUUACUGGGCCAGCAUCGGUUUGGAUGGUAGGAUAAUGACAUUGGAAAUGUAGCUUUACUUCGGUGAAGUGUUAUAGACUUUGUUGAUACUGCCUAUCUAGACCGAGGACUGCGUCUUUGACUAGGAUGCUGGCGUAAUGAUCUUAAGCCGCCCGU